CCUAGACUCCCAGCAAGCGGGGAUGUUUUCUCCCUCAUCUUCUGAACCCCCCAGAUUCCCCCACACAUAAGGAGCAUGAGAACUUGGGAGAUACCCCAUGCUAUAGGUCUUCCAAAUCACCAUAUUUGAUUAAUCAUGAUCCAUGGGAAUCCUGGGCAACUUGCACUUUGGUUUAAGUGUCCUUAAAAAGAAGAAAUGACCAUAGUGGGGCUUUAACCAGCAGUGGCUGAAAGCCUUUCCAAGACUGCUGUUUUGUGUCCGGCCCCCCCCCCCCCCCCCCCGCCCGCCAGUUUUGGAACCCGGUGCAGGGUUUGAAUUCCCAAUUCUGUCCCUAAUGGGCUGAACCCGUGGGCAAGCGCCCCCUCCUUCUUCUGAGAAAGGAAGUCAAUCACAAUGCCUACCGCAUAGUAUUACAUGAGACAGCUUGUGUAAAGCAGGGCUGCUUGGCUUGCCUGUGAGCCUGUGU
rnacentral:lncRNA from 1 species